AGAUGGGAUCAUUACCGAGUUUACAGCUCCCAACCCAAUGUGAACGUUACCAAACUGUUGCCUCGGCGGGGUCACGCCCCGGGUGCGUCGCAGCCCCGGAACCAGGCGCCCGCCGGAGGAACCAACCAAACUCUUUCUGUAGUCCCCUCGCGGACGUAUUUCUUACAGCUCUGAGCAAAAAUUCAAAAUGAAUCAAAACUUUCAACAACGGAUCUCUUGGUUCUGGCAUCGAUGAAGAACGCAGCGAAAUGCGAUAAGUAAUGUGAAUUGCAGAAUUCAGUGAAUCAUCGAAUCUUUGAACGCACAUUGCGCCCGCCAGUAUUCUGGCGGGCAUGCCUGUCCGAGCGUCAUUUCAACCCUCGAACCCCUCCGGGGGAUCGGCGUUGGGGAUCGGGACCCCUCACACGGGUGCCGGCCCCGAAAUACAGUGGCGGUCUCGCCGCAGCCUCUCCUGCGCAGUAGUUUGCACAACUCGCACCGGGAGCGCGGCGCGUCCACGUCCGUAAAACACCCAACUUUCUGAAAUGUUGACCUCGGAUCAGGUAGGAAUACCCGCUGAACUUAAGCAUAUCAAUUAAAGGCGGAGGA
rnacentral:rRNA from 1 species